UACGUAGGGGGCGAGCGUUGUCCGGAGUUACUGGGCGUAAAGCGCACGCAGGCGGUCUGCUAAGUUUGGAGUGACAGUUGGUGGCUUAACUGCCAAAGUGCUUCGAAAACUGACAGACUUGAGGGCUUCAGAGGGACACGGAAUUCCGGGUGGAGUGGUGAAAUGCGUAGAGAUCCGGAGGAACACCAAAGGCGAAGGCGGUGUCCUGGGGAGUACCUGACGCUCAGGUGCGAAAGCCAGGGGAGCGAACGGG
rnacentral:rRNA from 1 species